rnacentral:rRNA from 1 species
CCUACGGGAGGCAGCAGUGAGGAAUAUUGGUCAAUGGACGCAAGUCUGAACCAGCCAUGCCGCGUGCAGGAAGACGGCUCUAUGAGUUGUACACUGCUUUUGUACGAGGGUAAACGCAGAUACGCGUAUCUGUCUGAAAGUAUCGUACGAAUAAGGAUCGGCUAACUCCGUGCCAGCAGCCGCGGUAAUACGGAGGAUUCAAGCGUUAUCCGGAUUUAUUGGGUUUAAAGGGUGCGUAGGCGGUCGGAUAAGUUAGAGGUGAAAUCCCGAGGCUCAACUUCGGAAUUGCCUCUGAUACUGUUCGGCUAGAGAGUAGGUGCGGUAGGCAGAAUGUAUGGUGUAGCGGUGAAAUGCUUAGAGAUCAUACAGAACACCGAUUGCGAAGGCAGCUUACCAAGCUACUUCUGACGUUGAGGCACGAAAGCGUGGGGAGCAAACAGGAUUAGAUACCCCAGUAGUC